rnacentral:lncRNA from 1 species
UAUUGUUCCACUCUUGCUAGCACCUAUGGAGCUCUGUUGUGGAUGAAAUUUCUUUUGCUAGUAAUUUGUGCUUCCUUUCACCGCUUUAGAUGACUACUCUGUGGUUUUUGUAGCUGCCUGCAUAUAUAUCUUUCCUUCCAUUGCUGAAUAGCACCUUUUACAUUUGUAACUUGUAUGCAAGAAAUGAGUAUGAAUUUAGAAAUGAGAUAAGUCUCUGUUAAAGACAGCUUUACCUUACCCCUCAGGAAUGUUCUGUUUGAAGCAGACCCAGCUAAUCCGGUGAGGCCACAUCUACACUUUAAUUCAGUUGCACUUUAAGCUGGGAGGAAAACUUACUACUGAAGUGAACAGAGAUCAACAAUUAAAGCUCUUGGGCAUUGACUUUUGCUCAGGAAACAGGGGA